UACGGAGGGAGCUAGCGUUGUUCGGAAUUACUGGGCGUAAAGCGCACGUAGGCGGCUAUUCAAGUCGGGGGUGAAAGCCCGGGGCUCAACCCCGGAACUGCCCUCGAAACUAGGUAGCUAGAAUCUUGGAGAGGCGAGUGGAAUUCCGAGUGUAGAGGUGAAAUUCGUAGAUAUUCGGAAGAACACCAGUGGCGAAGGCGACUCGCUGGACAAGUAUUGACGCUGAGGUGCGAAGGCGUGGGGAGCAAACAGG
rnacentral:rRNA from 1 species